rnacentral:misc_RNA from 1 species
UACGGAGGAUCCAAGCGUUAUCCGGAAUCAUUGGGUUUAAGGGGUCCGUAGGCGGGUUAAUAAGUCAGUGGUGAAAGUUUGCAGCUCAACUGUAGAACUGCCAUUGAUACUGUUAACCUUGAGUAGUUAUGAAGUGGGUAGAAUAUGUAGUGUAGCGGUGAAAUGCAUAGAUAUUACGUAGAACACCGAUUGCGAAGGCAGAUAACUAAUAAUUUACUGACGCUGAGGGACGAAAGCGUAGGUAGCGAACAGG